rnacentral:rRNA from 1 species
GAUGAACGCUGGCGGCGUGCCUAAUACAUGCAAGUCGAGCGAACGGACGAUACGCUUGCUUCGCUGAUGUUAGCGGCGGACGUGUGAGUAACACGUGUAUAAUCUACCUAUAAGACUGGGAUAACUUCGGGACACCGGAGCUUAUACCGGAUAAUAUUUUGAUCCGCAUGGGUCAAUAGUGAGAGUCGGUCUUGCUGGCUCUUAUAGAUGGUUCCGCGCUGCAUCAGCUAGUUGGUAAGGUCACGGCUUAGCAAGGCAACGAUGCAUAGCCGACCGGAGAGGGGGAUCGGCCACACUGGAACGUAGACAGGGUCAAGAGGCCUACGGGAGGCAGCAGACGGGAAUGUGCCGCAAUAGGCGAAAGCCUGACGGAGCAACGCGGAGUGAGAGAUGAAGGUGCUCGGAUCGUAAAACUCUGUUAUGAGGGAUAAACAUAUGUCUAAGUAACUGAAGCGAGCUUGACGGUAACUAAUCAGAAAGCAACGGCUAACUACGUG